rnacentral:rRNA from 1 species
UGGGGAAUAUUGGACAAUGGGCGCAAGCCUGAUCCAGCAAUACCGCGUGUGUGAAGAAGGCCUGAGGGUUGUAAAGCACUUUUAAUAGGGAGGAACAUCUGCUGGCCAAUACCCGGUAGUCUGACAUUACCUAUAGAAAAAGCACCGGCUAACUCCGUG